UUUGUUUUGUUUUGAUCAGUUCUCGGAAUGUAAAGAGCGGGGGGGGGGCAGAAACUCCGAUUCAAACUUCGAUUCUGUACCCUAGGCUGCAAGACUGUCCCACUGGGCAGGGGCUCUGGCGAGGGAGGGGCGAAGCGGAGCCCGGGAGGAGCCAGGUUCUUCCAUGGACUCUGUCCUCCACAUUCCAAGGUCCCCAGGGAUGAGGUGUUAACCCUCUUCCCAGACCCUUGACACCAAGUCAAAAGCAAGCACCAGAGAAGGUGGACUGCCUAGGCCUGGGUGUUGGCAUCAGGGGAGGAGGCAAAGGUCCUAUGUGUCCUGGGCUCACUGGAGAAGCGCUGGGUUCUGACUGGCUGAGAACCUCACUGGAGAAGUGCUUACUGUGACAUCACAAGCCUGACUCCAACUUUGUCAAGAGUCACAGUGACCUCAGAGGUCACUGGAUCAGAGUCGCAGCAAAAGAGAAGAGCCAGCAGCAAAAGAGCAUGUUAUUCAUGGGCCAGUGCUGGAGUUAUCCUCAGUGUGUCUUGACCAAACAGACACAGGCCAGGAGGGCAGGAAGAAGACAGAAGGACCAUGACAGAUUAAGAGGGCAAGGACUGGGGGGUUAAAGGGAGAAGAUAAAGACCCCAGCCUAGUUUUUAUGUCUUCCUGGUGCCCUGGGUGACACCUCUCCUAAAACCACCCUCCUGGCUGCACAGGAUCCAGCCACAGCAGGGACUUAGUCAAAGGACACUUUGACUAGCGGGUCAAUGGACAUUGGUCGAAUCGCAGCCCGACAGACAUUAUUGGAUGCAAAUAAAGACAACAUUAAGAUACCA